rnacentral:lncRNA from 1 species
AGCUAUUAAAACUAUGAGCGGGCUUGGAGUACAUGAUAAGCGCCAGGACAACUCAAGCCGGGCAGUCCCCACCAGCUUCACGGGCACUGUCCCCCCACCAACACGCCCAAGUUUCCUCCAGGUCCCCACCAGCAUCUGGGCAUGGGAGGAGUGUGUAAGGAGAGGGGCUCUUCAAAGAACACCCCAAUUUCCUGAUACUAAUCUACAGGUCAUCUCCAGGGGUCAAGUGUCAUGCUCUUUACAUAGAUGGGAUAACUCUGACCAGACUGGAUCACGUAGCAAUGCCAGACUCCGCCCCAGAAACCAUUCCAAGGGAGAGCGCUGUGCCAUGCUUUGCCUGUGGGACAGCGGGAGCGCCACUUCCUGCACUUUUCUACCAGGUCUGGGAAACUCCAACUGUGUGGAAUGA